rnacentral:rRNA from 1 species
AGCGAACGCUGGCGGCAGGCCUAACACAUGCAAGUCGAACGAACCUUUCGGGGUUAGUGGCGGACGGGUGAGUAACACGUGGGAACGUGCCUUUAGGUUCGGAAUAACUCAGGGAAACUUGUGCUAAUACCGAAUGUGCCCUUCGGGGGAAAGAUUUAUCGCCUUUAGAGCGGCCCGCGUCUGAUUAGCUAGUUGGUUGAGGUAAUGGCUCACCAAGGCGACGAUCAGUAGCUGGUCUGAGAGGAUGAUCAGCCACAUUGGGACUGAGACACGGCCCAAACUCCUACGGGAGGCAGCAGUGGGGAAUCUUGCGCAAUGGGCGAAAGCCUGACGCAGCCAUGCCGCGUGAAUGAUGAAGGUCUUAGGAUUGUAAAAUUCCUUCACCGGGGACGAUAAUGACGGUACCCGGAGAAGAAGCCCCGGCUAACUUCGU